rnacentral:rRNA from 1 species
GGAUAACCUACCCUUAGGACCGGGAUAACCUUGGGAAACUGAGGAUAAUACUGGAUAGGCAAUUAUUCCUGGAAUGGUUUUUUGUUUAAAUGUUUUUUCGCCUGAGGAUGGGUCUGCGGCCGAUUAGGUAGUUGGUUAGGUAACGGCUUACCAAGCCAUUGAUCGGUACGGGUUGUGAGAGCAAGAGCCCGGAGAUGGAACCUGAGACAAGGUUCCAGGCCCUACGGGGUGCAGCAGGCGCGAAACCUCCGCAAUGUGAGAAAUCGCGACGGGGGGAUCCCAAGUGCCAUUCUUAACGGGAUGGCUUUUCAUUAGUGUAAAGAGCUUUUGGAAUAAGGGCUGGGCAAGACCGGUGCCAGCCGCCGCGGUAACACCGGCAGCUCUAGUGGUAACAAUUUUUAUUGGGCCUAAAGCAUCCGUAGCCGGUUUAAUAAGUCUCUGGUGAAAUCCUGUAGCUUAACUGUGGGAAUUGCUGGAGAUACUAUUAGACUUGAGACCGGGAGAGGUUAGAGGUACUCCCAGGGUAGAGGUGAAAUUCUGUAAUCCUGGGAGGACCGCCUGUUGCGAAGGCGUCUAGCUGGAACGAUUCUGACGGUGAGGGACGAAAGUUAGGGGCGCGAACCGGAUUAGAUACCCGGGUAGUCCUAACUGUAAA